AGGGGGAGGUCGGAUCCUGGGCUGUGUCCCCGGAGCCCUGUGCUCCCGGGCCUGGGCUGUUGGAUUCGAACCCCCGGCUGGGCAGCCCCCU
rnacentral:pre_miRNA from 1 species